CAGCCGCCGCGGGAAUACGUAGGUCCCGAGCGUUGUCCGGAUUUAUCGGGCGUAAAGCGUGCGCAGGCGGUUCGUUAAGACAGAUGUGAAAUACCCGGGCUUAACCUGGGAACUGCAUUUGUGACUGGCGGGCUAGAGUAUGGCAGAGGGGGGUAGAAAUCCACGUGUAGCAGUGAAAUGCGUAGAGAUGUGGAGGAAUACCGAUGGCGAAGACAGCCCCCUGGGCCAAUACUGACGCUCAUGCACGAAAGCGUGGGGAGCAAACAGGAUUAGAUACCCCUGUAGUCCCUGUCUCUUAUAC
rnacentral:rRNA from 1 species